AUACGUAGGUGGCGAGCGUUGUCCGGAAUUACUGGGCGUAAAGGGUGCGUAGGCGGACAUUUAAGUCAGGGGUGAAAUCCCGGGGCUCAACCUCGGAACUGCCUUUGAUACUGGGUGUCUAGAGUGUGGAAGAGGUAAGUGGAACUCCGAGUGUAGAGGUGAAAUUCGUAGAUAUUCGGAGGAACACCAGUGGCGAAGGCGGCUUACUGGUCCAUUACUGACGCUGAGGUGCGAAAGCGUGGGGAGC
rnacentral:rRNA from 1 species